rnacentral:misc_RNA from 1 species
UCGGGCUGCUGAUCCUUCUCCAUCUUAUUAGAACAUAGAUCGCAGGCCAGUCAGCCUGACGAUCGCUUGCAGGCGUGCCGCCUUCGUUUCUCUUUCUUCAUUGAUGAUCGCUCACGGGCCGUACCGCAGCUGAUGCUGCUGGCCCUGCGCGGGCGCGGCAAAUGAUUGCCGACGGACUGGCGUCCUGUAUUGGCGUCCACUUGCUGGAUGGUGAUGCAGUGUGAAGCAACCACCUCCGGGCUUGUAGCUCAGUUGGUUAGAGCACACGCUUGAUAAGCGUGGGGUCGGAGGUUCAAGUCCUCCCAGGCCCACCAUGACACAUGAUAAGGGGCUGUAGCUCAGCUGGGAGAGCACCUGCUUUGCAAGCAGGGGGUCGUCGGUUCGAUCCCGUCCAGCUCCACCAUCGUGUUUUGGUGUUGAGAGGGAAAGAGUGCCGGUCAUCAAGAGAAAGAACCAGGUUUGCGGACUUUUGUAAGUCUGCGUGUUCUGUAUGAAAUCGUGAAGAGAAGAUGUAAUCGGAUCAACUAUCGAGUUGAUGUCGCAAUGGUUUGCUCAAACCUUGCAUUAUGAUUGGACGCUAACCGCGCCACCGAUUGUAUCUCGAGAAGCUGGUCUUUCUGCUGAUAUGAUCAGAGCUUAAUGCUUUGAUGGAUAUUGGCAAUGAGAGUGAUCAAGUGUCUUAAGGGCAUUUGGUGGAUGCCUUGGCAUGCACAGGCGAUGAAGGACGUGAUACGCUGCGAUAANCUCGGGGAGGUGCGAAUACCC